UAUACGUUUAACGGCCGCGGUAUUUUGACCGUGCGAAGGUAGCGCAAUCACUUGUCUCUUAAAUGGAGACCCGUAUGAAUGGCACAACGAGGGCUUAACUGUCUCCUUUCUCAAGUCAAUGAAAUUGACCUCCCCGUGCAGAGGCGGGCAUAAAAACAUAAGACGAGAAGACCCUAUGGAGCUUUAGACAUAAAACAGCUCACGUCAACCACCUUUAGACAAAAAAAUAAACCAAAUAAGCCCUGUUCAAAUGUCUUCGGUUGGGGCGACCGCGGGGUAACAAGUAACCCCCACGUGGAAUAAAAACACCCUUUUUUAAACCAAGAGCAACUGCUCUAAUAAACAGAACAUCUGACCAACCAUGAUCCGGCCCAGCCGAUCAACGAACCAAGUUACCCUAGGGAUAACAGCGCAAUCCUCUUUUAGAGUCCAUAUCGACAAGAGGGCUUACGACCUCGAUGUUGGAUCAGGACAUCCUAAUGGUGCAGCCGCUAUUAAGGGUUCGUUUGUUCAACGAUUAAAGUCCUACGUGAUCUGAGUUCAGACCGGA
rnacentral:rRNA from 1 species